rnacentral:ncRNA from 3 species
AGUGCAAUGUUAAAAGGGCAU